rnacentral:rRNA from 1 species
AGUCGAACGAAGUAGCAAUACUUAGUGGCAGACGGGUGAGUAACAUGUAGGUAUCUGCCCUUUGGCCUGGAAUAACACGAGGAAACUUGUGCUAAUACCGGAUAAGUCUUUACGGAGAAAGCUUUAUGCACCAUUGGAUGAGCCUGCACUUGAUUAGUUUGUUGGUGGGGUAAUGGCCUACCAAGACUGUGAUCAAUAGCUGAUUUGAGAGGAUGAUCAGCCACAUUGGGACUGAGACACGGCCCAAACUCCUACGGGAGGCAGCAGUGGGGAAUCUUGCACAAUGGAGGAAACUCUGAUGCAGCGAUGCCGCGUGAGUGAAGAAGGCCCUUGGGUUGUAAAGCUCUUUCGUCGGGGAAGAAA